AGGCCCUCCUGGAGGCAACCGAGGAGGCUUCCAGAACCGGGAAGGUAGUGGUGGCAGCGGUGGUGGAGGAGGCAACUACUGAGGAGGUUUCAGCCACCGCGGAGGUAGUGACUACAACCAAAACCGCUGGGGUAACACCAACCAGGAUAAUAACAACUCCAACAACCGAGGCAGCUAUCACCCGGCUCCUCAGCAACCACCACCAUCUAGCUAUAGGACUGCUCGGAACCCUCUGGGAGCCAGCAGCUACAACAAAAACAGCAACAUCCCUGGCUCCAGCACCAAUACCAGCAGCCCUACAGUGAGCAGCUACAGCCCUCCACAGCCUAGUUAAAACCAGCCGCCUUACAACCAAGGAGGCUACACCCAGGGCUACACAGCCCCACCACCUCCACCUCCUGCCCCCUAUACACCACCACUACCCCUACACACUGCCCAGACCUACCCUCAGCCCAGCUAUAACCAGUAUCAGCAGUAUGCCCAGCCGUGGAGCCAGCACUAUCAGAACCAGAGCCAGUGGCCGCCAUACUACAGAACAACGACUAUGGAGGCUGCUGGGGCAGCAGACAGCAGGGCACCAGCACAC
rnacentral:lncRNA from 1 species